rnacentral:rRNA from 1 species
UGGGGAAUUUUGACAAUGGGCGAAAGCCUGAUCCAGCAAUGCCGCGUGUGUGAAGAAGGCCUUCGGGUUGUAAAGCACUUUUGUCCGGAAAGAAAUCCUUGGCUCUAAUACAGUCGGGGGAUGACGGUACCGGAAGAAUAAGCACCGGCUAACUACGUGCCAGCAGCCGCGGUAAUACGUAGGGUGCAAGCGUUAAUCGGAAUUACUGGGCGUAAAGCGUGCGCAGGCGGUUUGCUAAGACCGAUGUGAAAUCCCCGGGCUCAACCUGGGAACUGCAUUGGUGACUGGCAGGCUAGAGUAUGGCAGAGGGGGGUAGAAUUCCACGUGUAGCAGUGAAAUGCGUAGAGAUGUGAGGAAUACCGAUGGCGAAGGCAGCCCCCUGGGCCAAUACUGACGCUCAUGCACGAAAGCGUGGGGAGCAAACAGGAUUAGAUACCCUGGUAGUCCACGCCCUAAACGAUGUCAACUAGUUGUUGGGGAUUCAUUUCCUUAGUAACGUAGCUAACGCGUGAAGUUGACCGCCUGGGGAGUACGGUCGCAAGAUUAAAACUCAAUGAA